AUUUUUGUUGAACUCACUUUUUCAGAUUCAGGAACUGGCUAACAAAGGUGGAGCAAAUGCAACCACAUGCACAAAAAGAAUACUGCGCCAUAUCAUGACAGACUUUCUUGGUUGCCAGUUUUCUUGGCAAGGGAGAAAGGGGAAGCAUUCUUUCUCUCAAAUGAAGCUGUCAUCAUGCAUCACCUGUGCCGUCCAGAGUGGCCAUGAGACAAGUGAAUUUGCGGUAGAAACAGCCAUCCGGGAGUGGCUGCGUCACGCUCCUGCCAGGCACAGGACUGCCAUUGCCAAGGACUGUGCCACUUCACAGCCCGGACAUGUGUGACGGGGUCCCCUCGCCCUGCUGUGCUGUCACCCAUUACCCGCGGCAUCUAGCUUCCCGUGUGACCAUGAUUUCUUCAGGACUGUCCACUGAACAGACCGGACAUAUGUGUGACGUGGUGGUGCCCUCGGCCUGCUGUACUGUCGCCCAUCACCCGCAGCAUCUAGCUUCCAGUGUGACCAUGCUUUCUUCAGAACUGUGCCACUGAACCGACUGAACAUGUGACAUGAUGCCCUCUGCCUGUUGUACUUUCGCCCAUCACCUGCAGCAUCUAGCUUCCAGUGUGACCAUGCUUUCUUCGGAACUGUGCCACUGAACCGACUGAACAUGUGUGACGUGGUCUGCCUGUAGCUUCCAGUGUGACCAUGCUUUCUUCAGAACUGUGCCACUGAACCGACUGAACAUGUGUGACGUGGUCUGCCUGUUGUACUUUCACCCAUCGCUCGCGGCGUCUAGCUCCAGUGUGCUAACUUGUCUAAUACUGCUGCCAAGUGCUUUAUGAUGUAGAUGCGACUCGAGAUGUUUUUUCUUCAUGGAAGGUCACAGCGCAGAACCGACGAAGACAGGAGAGGUGCA